UACGUAGGGUGCAAGCGUUAAUCGGAAUACUGGGCGUAAAGCGUGCGCAGGCGGUGAUGUAAGACAGUUGUGAAAUCCCCGGGCUCAACCUGGGAACUGCAUCUGUGACUGCAUCGCUGGAGUGCGGCAGAGGGGGAUGGAAUUCCGCGUGUAGCAGUGAAAUGCGUAGAUAUGCGGAGGAACACCGAUGGCGAAGGCAAUCCCCUGGGCCUGCACUGACGCUCAUGCACGAAAGCGUGGGGAGCGAAACAACGG
rnacentral:rRNA from 1 species